UAAGUCUAGUGUCUUUACUUAAUAGAUGAAGAAACAGAGGUUACAUUUCCAACUUGUCCAAGUCUAUGAAGCUUGUUUUUUUGUUUCACAUAUAUAAAGACAGAUUGAAUGUGUCAAUUCCAAACCAUUAAUUGAACAUCUAUUUUUGUUAUGUUAGAGAAUUCAAAGGUCGAUAAAAUGCAAUUUCUUUUUAAAAUUUUUUCAAGGGACAGUGUUUCCUUCUGUCACCUAGGCUGGUCUCAAACUCCUGACCUCAAGUGAUCCUCUUGCCUCGGCCUCCCAAAGCACUGGGAUUAUAAGCAUGAACCACUGUACCCAGCCCAAAAUGCAAUUCCUAUUUUUAAAAAGCUUUCUUCUUGCCAGGUAUGGUGGCUCGUGCCUGUAAUUUUACCACUUUGGAAGGAUGAGGUGGGAGGAUCACUUGAGACCAGUUUGAGCAACUUAGUGAGACCCAGUUGCUGGGCAUGGUGUCAUGCCUCUGUAGUCCUAGUUGAGGCUGAGGUGGGAGGAUCACUAGAGCCUGGGAGGUCAAGGCUGCAGUGAGCUGUUAUCACACCACUGCACUCCAGCCUGGGUGACAGAGUGAGAACCUGUCUUAAAAACAAACAAACAAAAACACUUUUCAUCUAAACAGCAGUUUAGGCAGUUAAGAUAAACAGUAGUGAUUAUUCAUUAAGUGCUUACUAAUACAUUAUUUUAUUUCAUGUUUACAACAAUCCAAUGGAAUAGAUCAUAUUAUCCCCAUUUAACAAAUAUGAAAAGGCAAACUCAGAGGUAGUGUUGCUAAAUUGUAUUAAGCUUUUACUAGGUGCCACAAUUGUUCUACAUGUUUUACCUCCAUUUAUAAAUUCAUUUAAUGCCCCAGGCUUGACUAGGGAAGGAUCCACUUCCAAACUCAGUCAUGUGUAUUUAUUGGUCUCAGGUCCCAUUGGCUGUUGGACAGAGACAGUUCCUUGCUAUUUGGGCCUCUCCAAAGCAGCCUUCACAACAUGGCAGCUUGCUUUCCCUGGAGGAAGGGCUGAGAAAGAUUGAAGUUUAAAUCUUUGUAACCUAACCUCAGCAAUGACUUUUCAUAUCACCAUGGCCAUUUUCUAUUCAUUAGAAGCAAGUCACUAGAUCCAGCCCCCACUCAAAAGUAAGGAUUAGACAGGGUGUCAACAGCAGGAGUCAGGGAUCACAGAUCACCCCACAGGCUGCCCACCACAGCAAGGUUACUUUAAUAAUUCAAAAUCAAUCUAUGUAAUGUGUCAUAUUAAUAGUACAAAGGAGAAAAAUAUGAUCACCUCAAUAGAUUAAAAAAAUAUUUGGGCCAGGCACAGUGGCUUACUCCUGUAAUCCUAGCAGUUUGGGAGGCCGAGGUGGGCGGAUCACUUGAGGUCAGGAGUUCAAGACCAACCUGGCCAACAUGGUGAAAGCCUGCCUCUACUAAAAAAAAAAAAAUACAAAAAUUAGCCGGGUGUGAUGGCUGGGGCUUGUAGUCCCAGCUACUCAGGAGCCUGAGGCAGGAGAAUGGCUUGAACCUGGGAGACGGAGGUUGCAGUGAGCCAAGAUCAUGCUGUUGCACUCCAGCCUGGGCGACAGAGCGAGACUCUGUCUUAAAAAAAAAAAAAAAGAAAUAUUUGAUAAAAUUUAAUAUCCACUGAUGAUAAAAAUCCUUAGCAAACUAGAAAUGGGAGCAAUUGUUCUUAUUCUGGAAAUAAGAUAUAAAAUAACAUAUAGUAGAUUGCACUUCUUUGCCCCUCCUGUUUCACACCUUUUGCUAUAUAAUUUUGCAAUGCCCUCAAUCAUGGGCAAAGUUACCCUUGACUCUGGACUCAGGCAUAUGACUUGCUUUGGCCAGUGGGAUAUUGGCAUAUGUGAUGCAAGUAAAAAUUUGAAAUGAGCUUGCCUACUGGGGUUUGCUUUUUUGUUCUUCUACUCUUUACCAUGAAAAGAACCUGCCUAAGCUGCUCCUUCUGGUUCCAGGAAGAAGAUAUGAAAUGCGUAGAACAUGAGUUCUCCAGCUAAGGUACUCAGUCAAGCCUAGCUGAGAACAGAGCUCCUAGCUGAGCUGCAGAUGCAUGCAUGAGCUCAGCCAAGACCAGCAGAGUGAUCUAGCUAAGCAUAGCCCAGAUCACCUGAUUGCCACAUAUGUGUAAGACAUAAGUAUCUAUUGUUAUAUAUCACUGGCUUUGUGGUUCUUUUGUUAUCCAACAAAAGCUAAUUGAUACAGGUUAUCUACAAAAAUACCUCAGCAAGUAUCAACUUAAUGAUGAAAUGCUAAAAGCUUUCCUCUGAAACUGGAAACUUGCUAAGUUUGCCUGCUACCACUUCUAUUUGACCUUGAAUGGAUACCUUAGCCAAUGCAAUAAGGCAAGAAAAAGAAAUAACAGAAAUAAGGAUAAAAAAAGAAAGAAAGCUGUCAUUUAUGUACAUAGCAAAUCCUAAAGAACCUUCAGAUCAAGUUUUGGAAUUUUAUCUAGGUCACUGAAUUCAAAUCAACACACAUAAACCAAUUGUAUGUUCUAUAUACCAGUAACAAAAAUAAUUGUAAACUGAAAUGUUUAAAUAUAACAUCUGGCUGGGCGUGGUGGCUCAUGCCUAUAAUCCCAGCGCUUUGGGAGGCCAAGGCGGGCAGAUCAUGAGGUCAGGAGAUCGAAACCAUCCUGGCUAACACAGUCAAACCCCGUCUCUACUAAAAAUACAAAAAAUUAGCCAGGCGUGGUGGUGGACACCUGUAGUCCCAGCUACUCGGGAGGCUGAGGCAGGAGAAUCGCUUGAACCCAGGAUGCAGAGGUUGCAGUGAGCCGAGAUUGAGCCGUUGCACUCCAGCCUGGGCAACAAGAGCAAAACUCUGUCUCAAAAAAAAAAAAAAUGCCUUUUUGAUGGGGUACCAGCUGAACCUACUAAUGACACAACCGUGUUAGAAAGUCUGCACCUUUUUUCAGCUUCAAAAGAGUUUCUAAUAGAGUGGGAAUUGUCAAGUAAUCAAGGCAUGGAAAUAAUCAUAUUUAAGUUAUAAUUAAGUGUUUUAAUAUCUAUUAUUUGGGGGAAGGGAAUUAUUAGCAAUAGCCAAGUUCUUUUUUUUUUUUUUUUUUUGAGACGGAGUCUCUCUCUGUCUGUCGCCCAGGCUGGAGUGCCGUGGCGCGAUCUCAGCUCACUGCCACCUCCGCCUCCUGGUUCAAGCAAUUCUCCUGCCUCAGCUUCUCCAGUAGUUGGGGCUACAGGUGCCUGCCAACACGCCUGGCUAUUUUUUU
rnacentral:lncRNA from 1 species